rnacentral:ncRNA from 1 species
CAAAGGUUUGGUCCUAGCCUUUUUAUUGGCAUCUAGUAAACUUACACAUGCAAAUAUCCUUGCCCCGGUGAGAAUGCCCUCUAUAUCAACAUGAUCAAAAGGAGCAGGCAUCAAGCUCACUACCCACAGUUGCUCAUAACGCCUUGCUCAACCACACCCCCACGGGACACAGCAGUGAUUAAGAUUAAGCUCAUGAACGAAAGUUCGACUAAGUUAUACUAAUACAUGGGUUGGUUAAUUUCGUGCCAGCCACCGCGGUCAUACGAUUAACCCUUGUCAAUAAAGCACGGCGUAAAGCGUGAUUAAAAGAUUAACCCUAAUAAGACUAAGCCCAAACUAAGCUGUAAAAAGCCCUAGUUUUAACAAAAAUAAUUAAACGAAAGAAGUCUUAGGAAUUUUGAACUCACGAUAGCUAAGACCCAAACUGGGAUUAGAUACCCCACUAUGCUUAGCCCUAAACAUAAACACUCAACUAACAAGAAUGUUCGCCAGAGUACUACUAGCCACAGCUUAAAACUCAAAGGACUUGGCGGUGCUUUACAUCCCUCUAGAGGAGCCUGUUCUAUAAUCGAUAAACCCCGAUACACCUUACCACCCUUUGCAAAUAUCAGCCUAUAUACCGCCAUCUUCAGCGAACCUUAACAAAGCCUCAUAGUAAGCGCAAUAAUUCAACAUAAAUACGUUAGGUCAAGGUGUAGCCCAUAGGGUGGGAAGAAAUGGGCUACAUUUUCUAUUCACUAGAACAUUUCUACGAUAGCUUUUAUGAAACUCAAAGCCCAAGGCGGAUUUAGUAGUAAGCCAGGAAUAGAGAGCCUAGCUGAAUCGGGCAAUAAAGCACGCACACACCGCCCGUCACCCUCUUCAAGUUCUACAAACAAAUAACAAUAAUUAAUUUAUACUAUUAAUAGUACAAGAAGAGAUAAGUCGUAACAAGGUAAGCAUACUGGAAAGUGUGUUUGGAAUAAU